rnacentral:rRNA from 1 species
AUGUGCAUGUCUAUUUUCACUACUCUUGCCAAUGCUGACAAAUCCAAGAAGCCUGAACCACGAAAGGGGUUCUCAAAGUUGACGGUAUCUGAAGCAGAAAGGGCUUUCUCAGGCAACAUGUGUAGAUGUACUGGUUACCGACCGAUCGUCGAUGCAUGCAAAAGUUUUGCUUCAGAUGUUGACCUGGAAGAUUUGGGCCUCAAUAUAUUCUCGUCGAUGCGUGCAAAAGUUUUGCUUCAGAUGUUGACCUGGAGGAUUUGGGCCUCAAUAUAUUCUGGAAGAAAGGUGAUAAGGAUGCCGACGUUUGCAAGUUGCCAACUUACACUCUUGGUGGUGGAGUCUGCACUUUCCCGGACUUCCUGA